rnacentral:lncRNA from 1 species
UUUUUGAAAACGCGCCCUAAAGCUAUCCAAUUUCAACAGUUAAAAUAAGUAUUACCUAUAUUAGUAAUACAUAUAAAAAAACCAUCAAAAAUAAAUAAGCGGCCUUAUUACAUUUAAAAACCCAAAACUUCAAACGUAAAUAAAAGGAUGUCCAGUUCACCAGAAGAAAAUCAAACUUUCAGAACAGGUGGCCACUCCGAAUUCCCUCACAGCUCCAAGCCCACCAUGGUUGGGGAUUACCUGCGUGGAUGAAAAUAAAAGGGGUGAGUUUAGGGAAACUCAGUGUGUAAAUUAACCCAACUAUAGCCUAUAUCAGCUUAAACCACAGAAAUAGAAUAAGUUGGCCUUAGCCUAGAACAGAAUUCAAAAUAAAGCCCAUAGGCCCAUAACAGAACAUAACAGAUAUUACAUGUUUAUGCAGAAACCCAACCAUAUCCAACCGUAUACACCCCCGUACCAACCUUACACCGUGUGGGGAGACAACUCGACCCACCCAACCGUUACACACCACAGAAUUUGCAGCAUGGCUGCCAGAACAGAUAAUGUGACAGAGUCACCAGAUACAGAUAAUCGUGGCAGAGCCACCAGAACAGAUAUAUGUGGCAGAGCCACCAGAUCAGAUAUUUGUGGCAUAGCCACCAGAACGCUUCCUCCAUAAUAUAACCCAUGUCCCCAUGCAACAGAUAUAUAAUCAUGGCAUACAUCAUACAGAAUCAGAUCAUCAUGCUUUUCAGUCAAAAUUAACCCUAGGGGUAUAACGGUAAUUUUGCACCUAGGGGUAUAACAGUAAUUUUCCAUACAUAGGGGUAUUAUAGUAAUUUAGCUACUUUUAGGAUUUUCAUGCAUAUCCUAACUAUUUACGUACUAUCAGAACACUUACCGCACAUACUUACUGAAUUGGGCCCGUUGGCCCAUGAACCCGAUCUUUGGCCCAUUAAGCCCAAAUUAUCAAAAUGUACGAAAUCGCGCGUACUGCAGUUUAUUACUUUAGAUUACCAAAUAUACAAACCCAACUAUCUUACGAGCAUUCGCACACUCGCAAAUUCCCAAAAUACUGACUUUUCGGCAUUUCGGCUUUUCGGCUUUUGCCAAUCUAGUCUAUGAGAAGGUGUCAGUUACACACCUGUUUGCGACGAUAUGCUGACGAGAUCCACACACGAACCGCCUACAAUUGGAUUACUAACACGUUAAUCUAACUAUUCAAAUACAAACUACGUAUUAACCCCUUACAAUAUUCGGCCAACCACACCUACAGAUCAUAGUAAGCUUAUAAGAAAUCAAUAAGCAACUCAUUAACAAAUUUUUGUCAAUGUUUACCACAUAAUCAUAAUUUCACUGCAAGCUGUCUUCCUGAGCAACAGUCACUAAAUUAUUUAUAACCGGAGCUACGAAACUCCAAAUCAAGUGCCGUUAAUUUUCCCUGAAAAUAGACUCAUAUAUAUUUUAUCCAUAAAAUUUUCAUAAUUUUUGGUAUGGCCAAUCAAUACCAGAUUUUUCUUAAAGUUUCCCAUGUUUCACUGUUUGACUAAUCUGACCACUCUUCAUUAUGAAUCAAAUUUCUCAUUGUACAGAAUUCAAAAUAUGUUCUUGUUUAUUUCAUUAGAAACUAGACUCAAUAAUAUUUAAUUACAUAAUUUAUUCAGCUUCUAAUUCAUCUCCCACAAUUUAUGGUGAUUUUCCAAAGUCACGUUACUGCUGCUGUCCCAAGCAGAUUUAUUACCAAAUCACUCUUUCACACAUACCUUGCAUGCAUGUUAUUUAAACAUGUAUAUCACCAAUCAAUCAUCACAUAUUUAUGAUUUUACUUAAGUAUAAUCUCCAUUUCAUCAUUUUAAAGCACAACAUGUUAGCUGAUUUUUCCCUUUAACAUCUAAGGCACAUGCAUGCUCAUUUGUUUGGCUCAACUUCACCUAUCUUCCAUUUUUCAUCAAAAGAACAUGAAACAACAACCAUUUCCUUCAUUUUAAUUCAUGACUAAAUGCUCACAACACAACUAAAAAUCAAAAUAUACUUCAAGAGUUAAGGUAGAAUCAAGAAGAACUCAUGAACCUCAAAAUAGAAGCAAGGUACCAAGAACUUACCUUCAAUUUUCCUCCUCCUAAUGACCAAAUAUUUAAGAGCUUUCUCCUCUCCUUUUUCUUCUCUAACUUUCAGCUAUGAUGAACAAAGAUGGACAAAACUUUGUUCUUUUCACCCCUUUUUCUUUUAAUAAAACUUCAUAUUUCAUCCAUUUAAUUCUUUAA